UCCUCUUUGCUUGCGGACCCCAUGUGGGACAGAGACGCCGGCCGGCCCGGCCCUCUUUUAUUUACCCCAGCGUUUAGAACGAUGCGGACACAUUAAGCCCUUAACACAUACCACUGUUUCUGUCACCUUUGGGGAGCAAUCUUGCAAGCCGUUUUCCGAUGGAACGUCAGCUGGGCGCUGGUGAAGUUUGCUGUCCUUAAAGCUCAUUUACUCAGAGCAGAUGCACUUGAUAUUCCCACCGUGUCUCGUCUCUCCGAGCUCAGAGGAGGCGAUGUCGCAUUUCGGGGGUGAUAACUGGUGGGCGGGACCAGCUCGCGCCCCGCCCGCUGAUUGGGCCGCGGCGAGGGGGCGGGGCUUGAGGAUGACGUCACCGGCCGAGGUCGACGUGAGCGCGCGGCUCGUCCGCGGCGGGUCUGACGUCACGGGCCGGGGGGCGGGGCCGGAGGCGAGGGGGGGGGGCCUCGAGCGCCCCUGGCGGCCGCUCCCGCGUCAGCGCCGAGGCCUGCCGCCCGACGACCUAAUAAUAAUAAUAAUAAUAAUGUCGGUAUUUGUUAAGCGCUUACCAUGUGCCGAGCACUGUUCUAAGCGCCGAGGUAGACACAGGGGAAUCGGGUUGUCCCACGUGGGGCUCCCAGUCUUCAUCCCCAUUUGACAGAGGAGGUCACUGAGGCACCGAGAAGUGAAGUGACUGGCCCGAAGUCACCCAGCUGACGAGUGGCCGAGCCGGGAUUCGAACCCAUGACCUCCGACUCCAAAGCCCGGGCUCUUUCCACCGAGCCACGCUGCUGCUCUGGGGGAGGGACGCCCCGAGGACGCUCACUCCACCGCCCUCCCGUCCCCGCGCUCCCUACGCUCCCCUCCGGCGCCCGCGGCCCCGGUGGCCAUUCCCAAGGCUCGGCCCGGCGCUCUGCACCGUCAACACCGUCGAACGAGCGCACGGCGCCCCUUCCCGCCUCCGCCGCCACCUGCCCGACGCCGGGCGGGGCGCUGGACUUUCACGCGUUCGGUAGUAUUUAGGAGCGCCUACUACGUGCAGAGCGCCGGACCGAGCGCCGGGAACGGCCCGUCCGGUGACGGAGAGAGACCGUCCCCGCCCGUCCGCGGGCCCGCGGGCCGACCGGGGGAGACGGACGGACGGCGACGGUAGCGACGAAUAGGAUCGAGGGGACGGACGGCUCGUUAACCACACGGAUGGGGGGAUGAGAAACCUGUACAGACGAGCGGGCUUCCGUCUGGGCCUCGGCUCCCUUCCGCGGC
rnacentral:lncRNA from 1 species